GACGAACGCUGGCGGCGUGCCUAAUACAUGCAAGUUGAGCGCUGAAGGUUGGUACUUGUACCAACUGGAUGAGCAGCGAACGGGUGAGUAACGCGUGGGGAAUCUGCCUUUGAGCGGGGGACAACAUUUGGAAACGAAUGCUAAUACCGCAUAAAAACUUUAAACACAAGUUUUAAGUUUGAAAGAUGCAAUUGCAUCACUCAAAGAUGAUCCCGCGUUGUAUUAGCUAGUUGGUGAGGUAAAGGCUCACCAAGACGAUGAUACAUAGCCGACCUGAGAGGGUGAUCGGCCACAUUGGGACUGAGACACGGCCCAAACUCCUACGGGAGGCAGCAGUAGGGAAUCUUCGGCAAUGGACGAAAGUCUGACCGAGCAACGCCGCGUGAGUGAAGAAGGUUUUCGGAUCGUAAAACUCUGUUGGUAGAGAAGAACGUUGGUGAGAGUGGAAAGCUCAUCAAGUGACGGUAACUACCCAGAAAGGGACGGCUAACUACGUG
rnacentral:rRNA from 1 species